CAAACAGCUCCGCCUCCAUAUACAGCUACACCAUCCACCGAUCUGGUGCAGCUCCGUCCUCUUCCGACAGUCACAGUUUGCUUCUUCCUGAAAUCUCUACAAAGAUGAUGUCUCCCUUCUUCGGUCUUGAGCUGCCAAACUGAAACAAGCCGCCACUACAGCUGAAUCAACAAACAUCAGCUGGUGGAUCACUGCUGUUCCUAAUGACAACAUCAAACUGCUGCCUGGUCAGGUGCUGGAAAUGAUUUGGCACAUCAUCCAAAGACUUCACAGAACAUCAUGAACAUGGUGAUACAGACUGCAGCGACUUGUGUCCUCCCUCAUCUCCUGCCGGCAUCCUCUUCCAGAAACCUGCACCUCCUCCUCAAUCACCAACAGCUACUGGAAGAAAAAUGCAGCACAAGGCCUCCACCUCAAGUGUUUUUGUCUUCCGCGUGCAGUCUCUGCCAAAAACCUGCACUUUGACCU